CGGAGAAUAUCAGGCAAACGUUUGUGGUAGCCCUUGAGACCAAGUUUGACGGCAAGGGGCUGAGUUUCUCCAGACAGAGCUUCGGUGUCUUCCCAGGAGCUAGGAUAAGCCCUAUAGCCUCGUCCUGAAUGAGGACAGCUUCGACAUCAUCCACUUCUUUGGGAAUGAGCCCAGUCCUUGCGGGAAUGACUUUGAAAUCUAUACAGACCCCCGAUCAUUGGCCAUAGCUGUGGUCUCCCCUCAGGACACUAUACAAUGAUGCAGAGAGAUUUUUUUCCCUGGAGACAGCCCACAAGUCAUGACAGUGCCUACAGCUGAGCGUUGAAACCUUCGAGGAGCUCUGGCCAAGCUUGAAGAGAGAAGCAUGGGAUGCCGUGGUUCCCCUCCCUCUGGCCCAACAUGUACGGUCAUGUGGGGCACCACAACAUCCACCUACACAGGACCAGGCUCUGUGUGGCAACCAUCCCCAGCUUGGUGGCUUCUGAUGAAAUGCAUUCCUGCACUCUGCUCAGAUGGCCCUGGCUUCUGAUGCUGCUGGUCUUUGGGACAGAAUAGGUUUCAUCCUAAAGGAAAACAUUGCUCAUCUACAGAAGUCCAUUUAUCUGCUAGCCCCAGAGCCUCUCUGGGAGGCAGGCAGAGCAUAAAUCACUACGAUCGCUACGGCAUCAUAUUCAAAGCAACAACUUUGGAGUGAACCAGGACACACUUGCCAAAGUCACUUCUGGCCUGGGGUACGUCAGUGUGUGUCUCUUCCUCUGAGACAUAGGACAAGGGAAGUUGUGUCACAGCAGCAGUGUACGUAGAAAGGUCCAGUACAGAGCCUCGUGGAUGGCCACUCCAUAACAAGAUGGCAGCUAUGAACAAUGGUCUUACAGCAACUUUGUUUUCAAUGGCUAUAUCUUAAAGGGCUGUGUAAAAGUUUACUAUUUGGUCUGGAAAGACAAAGGGCACCAUUUACACUACCCAUUCUUGGUAUCUUACAAAUAAAUGAAUGACGACCAAAGAGAUGGAAACGUUUCACUAUAGCUCCGCAUCCUGUUAAGAGCAGAGUCCAGAUCUACCAACCUCAUCCCAGCAUUUUCCCCUACCCUUUACCUCACUGGGGACAGUCAGAAUUGGAAACUGGUCA